rnacentral:rRNA from 1 species
AUGAACGCUAGCGGCAGGCUUAAUACAUGCAAGUCGAGGGGCAGCGGCGGGGGGUAGCAAUACCUGGCGGCGACCGGCAAACGGGUGCGGAACACGUACGCAACCUUCCUCUGAGCGGGGGGAUAGCCCGGGGAAACCCGGAUUAAUACCCCCAUAGAAUAAUGGAGAAAGCAUUUCUCUAUUAUUAAAAGAUUUAUCACUUAGAGAUGGGCGUUGCGGCUGAUUAGGUAGUUGGCGGGGGUAACGGCCCACCAAGGCCUGCGAUCAGUAGCUGAUGUGAGAGCAUGAUCAGCCGCACGGGCACUGAGACACGGGCCCGAACUCCUACGGGAGGCAGCAGUAAGGAAUAUUGGUCAAUGGACGAAAGUCUGAACCAGCCAUGCCGCGUGGAGGAUGAAGGUCCUCUGGAUUGUAAACUUCUUUUAUAGGGGACGAAAAAAAGGAAAUUCUUUUCCGUCUGACGGUACCCCUGUGAAUAAGCACCGGCUAACUCCGUGCCAGCAGCCGCGGGUAAUACGGAGGGGUGCAAGCGUUAUCCGGAUUCACUGGGUUUUAAAGGGUGCGUAGGCGGGCAGGUAAAGUCAGAGGGUGAAAUCUCCGGGCUUAACCCGGAAAACUGCCUUUGAUACUAUCUGUCUUGAAUAUGGUGGGAGGUAAGCGGAAUAUGUCAUGUAGCGGUGAAAUGAAAUGCUUAGAUAUGACAUAGAACACCCAUUGCGGAAGGCAGCUUACUACGCCUAUAUAUUGACGCUUGAGGCACGAAAAGCGUGGGGAUCAAACAGGAUUAGAUACCCUGGUAGUCCACGCCCCUAAACGAUGACUACUCGACAUACGCGAUACACAGUGUGUGUCUGAGCGAAAGCAUUAAGUAAUCCACCUGGGAAGUACGACCGCAAAGGUUGAAAACUCAAAGGAAUUGGCGGGGGUCCGCACAAGCGGUGGAGCAUGUGGUUUAAUUCGAUGAUAACGCGAGGAACCUUACCUGGGCUAGAAUGCGGGUCUGACCGUGGGUGAAAAGCUCACUUUGUAGCAAUACACAGAUCGUAAGGUGCUGCAUGGCUGUCGUCAGCUCGUGCCGUGAGGUGUUGGGUUAAGUCCCCGCAACGAGCGCAACCCCUAUCAUUAGUUGCCAUCAGGUCAAGCUGGGAACUCUAAUGAAACUGCCGUCGUAAGACGUGAGGAAGGAGGGGAUGAUGUCAAGUCAUCAUGGCCUUUAUGCCCAGGGCCUACACACGUGCUACAAUGGGGGGUACAAAGGGGCUGCUACCUGGUGACAGGAUGCUAAUCUCAAAAAAACCUCUCUCAGUUCAGAUUGCAGGCUGCAACUCGCCUGCAUGAAGCUGGAAUCGCUAAGUAAUCGUAGAUCAGCAACGCUACGGUGAAUACGUUCCCGGACCUUGCGCACACCGCCCGUCAAAGCCAUGGAAGCCGGGUGUACCUAAAGUCGGUGACCGCAAGGAGCUGGCCUAAGGUAAAACUGGUGACUGGGGCU